rnacentral:rRNA from 1 species
AUUGAACGCUGGCGGCAUGCUUUACACAUGCAAGUCGAACGGUAACAGGCCGCAAGGUGCUGACGAGUGGCGAACGGGUGCGUAAUGCAUCGGAACGUGCCCAGUCGUGGGGGAUAACUACUCGAAAGAGUAGCUAAUACCGCAUACGAUCUAUGGAUUAAAGCGGGGGACCGUAAGGCCUCGCGCGAUUGGAGCGGCCGAUGUCAGAUUAGGUAGUUGGUGGGGUAAAGGCUCACCAAGCCAACGAUCUGUAGCUGGUCUGAGAGGACGACCAGCCACACUGGGACUGAGACACGGCCCAGACUCCUACGGGAGGCAGCAGUGGGGAAUUUUGGACAAUGGGCGAAAGCCUGAUCCAGCAAUGCCGCGUGCAGGAAGAAGGCCUUCGGGUUGUAAACUGCUUUUGUAAGGAACGAAACGGCUCUGGUUAAUACCCGGGGCUAAUGACGGUACCGAAAGAAUAAGCACCGGCUAACUACGUG